rnacentral:lncRNA from 1 species
GUGUGUGUGUAUGUUUGUGUGUGUGUACUGGAUGUGAUUAAAUGCACCAACACUAAUCUUUAACAAGAGAGGCUAUUUUUAACUUCUGUCUCUCAGGGCAAACAGAACCCUACCCAGAGGUGAGACGUGUUCCUAGUCUGGGCGGUCGGUAAUUCUCCUUCACUCCUGCAGCCCGGUUGCUAGAAGAAAUGAGAGUCAGCAUGGACAAAGCCAGCAGGGAACGAGGGGCACAACCAGUAUCUGCAGCAAGUACCAAACCCGGAGCCCCAUCCACAAAACUCAAUUAGGAACAAUUGGUUGUGCUGAGUGAGGUCAGCUCCAACCGGGGCCCAUGAGCUGAGCUGGUUAUUAGUGUUGUCAAGUUGCUCAGACAAGUGAAUCAGACAUCGUUCGUUAGCAUUUAUCUUUGAAGACGAGGUGGCUAAACAAUAAACCGUUGAAGAUUUGUUUAGGUGCUUCGUUUUUCUAUUCCCCUCUACAUGUUUAUAUGAAUUAUUUGGUCCUGUACCAGAGAGGAUUGUGUGGUAGUCUAAUGAGAUUUGAGCGUCAGCUGACACAGUUCUUUGUCCCAGUGUCUGGCAGGGGGAGCUGCUUAUUUACAUGGUCGCUGCAUGGUCCUUUUACAUCUGUCAUUUAGCUCAGCUCGAGUUCUCCGUUACCCAAAUAAAAAUGAAUCACCUCGGGCAUCCGUUUGGGAUUGCUGCCUUUGAAGUAUAGCGGUAAACCCGCUGCCUCAGCAUCUGAGAGAUCAGCUCACUCUAUCACCUAGAAUUCUAAUCCUGCAUUUGGAGGCUUAGAAGUCCAGAGAUGGAGGAAAUGGGAAGGAAAAGAAGGCUGAUCAAAGAAUUCACAGUGCUACAAAAGGAAUUUACAUGUCUCUCUUCCUUUUCUUCUCUCUGUCUAAACAGU